CACAUUUUGCACUUUGGGAAGGCACCUCUGUGCUCUUCCUUGAGUAGAUGAUGAGCAGCUUGAAGGCAGGAACCUCAUAUUAUUUGACUUUGGAUCUCACUGUUUUUGUCCCAGGGCCUGGUACAGAGCUGGAGUUCAAUGUCAGCUGAGUGAAUGAAUGAACACUGACCUCUGCUCUCUCAGAGAGGGGCUGGAGUGGGACGUGACAGUGCCCAGCACAGGUCUGCUGUUGGCAUGAAGGCCAGAGAAGGGAGAGCAGAUGGUACAAGUCCCAGAGGCCCAGGAUGGGGGGUGGCGUGGGGCCAGUGGAGCCCUGUCGCCUGUCCUGUCCUCUGGGCCCUAAGCCCUCCCAGGUCCUGCUGUGGACAAAGUACAGGCCACACACCGCUGAGAAAGCACAAAGACAGCCCACAGAAUGGGAGAAAAAAAUUGCAAAUCAUUGAUCUGAUAACGGGGCUUGCUCCCAAAUAUAUAAAGAACUCUUACAACUCGGUCCCUAAAAGACAAAUAACCUAUAUGACCAUGGGCAAAGGACUUGGAUCCACGUUUCUCCCACGAAGAUACACAAAUCGUCAUGAGGAACACGCGAAGAUGCUCAGCCUCGUGAGCCCCCAGAGAAACACGAAUUAAAGCAUGACAGGCCACUUCAUACCCCCUUGGAUGGC